UACGUAGGGUGCGAGCGUUAAUCGGAAUUACUGGGCGUAAAGCGUGCGCAGGCGGUUCGUUGUGUCGGCGGUGAAAGCCCUGGGCUUAACCUGGGAAUGGCCGUCGAAACUGGCGAACUGGAGUGUGGCAGAGGGGGGUGGAAUUCCGCGUGUAGCAGUGAAAUGCGUAGAGAUGCGGAGGAACACCGAUGGCGAAGGCAGCCCCCUGGGCUGACACUGACGCUCAGGCACGAAAGCGUGGGGAGCAAACAGG
rnacentral:rRNA from 1 species